rnacentral:siRNA from 1 species
AGUCAAUUGGCUCAUUUGGUUGAG